GACGAACGCUGGCGGCGUGCUUAACACAUGCAAGUCGAACGGAAAGGCCCUGCUUUUGUGGGGUGCUCGAGUGGAGAACGGGUGAGUAACACGUGAGAAACCUGCCCUUGACUUUGGGAUAACUUCAGGAAACUGGGGCUAAUACCGGAUAGGAGCUCCUGCGGCAUGGUGGGGGUUGGAAAGUUUCGGCGGUUGGGGAUGGACUCGCGGCUUAUCAGCUUGUUGGUGGGGUAGUGGCUUACCAAGGCUUUGACGGGUAGCCGGCCUGAGAGGGUGACCGGCCACAUUGGGACUGGGAUACGGCCCGGACUCCUACGGGAGGCAGCAGUGGGGAAAAUUGCACAAUGGGCGGAGGCCUGAUGCAGCAACGCCGCGUGCGGGAUGACGGCCUUCGGUUUGUAAACCGCUUUCGCCUGUGACGAAGCGUGAGUGACGGUAAUGGGUAAAGAAGCACCGGCUAACUACGUG
rnacentral:rRNA from 1 species